rnacentral:rRNA from 1 species
UACGUAGGGUGCAAGCGUUGUCCGGAAUUAUUGGGCGUAAAGAGCUCGUAGGCGGUCUGUCGCGUCGGAUGUGAAAACCCAGGGCUCAACCCUGGGCCUGCAUUCGAUACGGGCAGACUAGAGUUCGGUAGGGGAGACUGGAAUUCCUGGUGUAGCGGUGAAAUGCGCAGAUAUCGGGAGGAACACCAAUGGCGAAGGCGGCUCACUGGACCGGUACUGACGCUGAGGCGCGAAAGCGUGGGGAGCAAACAGG